AAUAGAACCCCGGUAGUCCAUGCCGUAAACGUUGGGAACUAGAUGUGGGGACCAUUCCACGGUUUCCGUGUCGCAGCUAACGCAUUAAGUUCCCCGCCUGGGGAGUACGGCCGCAAGGCUAAAACUCAAAGGAAUUGACGGGGGCCCGCACAAGCGGCGGAGCAUGCGGAUUAAUUCGAUGCAACGCGAAGAACCUUACCAAGGCUUGACAUAUACGAGAACGCUCUAGAAAUAGAGAACUCUUUGGACACUCGUAUACAGGUGGUGCAUGGUUGUCGUCAGCUCGUGUCGUGAGAUGUUGGGUUAAGUCCCGCAACGAGCGCAACCCUCGUCGUAUGUUGCCAGCACGUAAUGGUGGGAACUCAUAUGAGACUGCCGGGGUCAACUCGGAGGAAGGUGGGGAUGAGGUCAAAUCAUCAUGCCCCUUAUGUCUUGGGCUUCACGCAUGCUACAAUGGCCGGUACAAAGGGCUGCAAUACCGCAAGGUGGAGCGAAUCCCAAAAAAGCCGGUCUCAGUUCGGAUUGAGGU
rnacentral:rRNA from 1 species